rnacentral:rRNA from 1 species
GCCUCUGCCACCCGGUCCGCCUAUUUGGGUGUGUACUGGAGUGGUGGAGGCUUACCUCGUGGUGAGCGGCCAUGUCCUUUACUGGGCGUGGUCGGGAACCAUGACAUUUACUUUGAAAAAAUUAGAGUGUUCAAAGCAGGCUUACGCCCGAAUACAUUAGCAUGGAAUAAUGAAAUAGGACGUUCGAUCCUAUUUUGUUGGUUUCUAGGAUUGACGUA